GCGGCGGACGGGUGAGUAACACGUAUGCGACCUGCCUGUACGACCGGGAUAACUCCGGGAAACCGGAGCUAAUACCGGAUAGGAUGCCGAACCGCAUGGUUCGGCAUGGAAAGGCCUUUGAGCCGCGUACAGAUGGGCCUGCGGCGCAUUAGCUAGUUGGUGGGGUAACGGCCUACCACGGCGACGAUGCGUAGCCGACCUGAGAGGGUGAACGGCCACACUGGGACUGAGACUCGGCCCAGACUCCUACGGGAGGCAGCAGUAGGGAAUCUUCCGCAAUGGACGAAAGUCUGACGGAGCAACGCCGCGUGAGUGAGGAAGGUCUUCGGAUCGUAAAACUCUGUUGUCAGGGAAGAACCGCCGGGAUGACCUCCCGGUCUGACGGUACCUGACGAGAAAGCCCCGGCUAACUACGUGCCAGCAGCCGCGGUAAUACGUAGGGGGCAAGCGUUGUCCGGAAUUAUUGGGCGUAAAGCGCGCGCAGGCGGCUUCUUAAGUCAGGUGUGAAAGCCCACGGCUCAACCGUGGAGGGCCAUCUGAAACUGGGGAGCUUGAGUGCACGAGAGGAGAGCGGAAUUCCACGUGUAUCGGUGAAAUGCGUAGAGAUGUGGAGGAACACCAAUGGCGAAGGCGGCUCUCUGGCCUGUAACUGACGCUGACGCGCGAAAGCGUGGGGAGCAAACAGGAUUAGAUACCCUGGUAGUCCACGCCGUAAACGAUGAGUGCUAGGUGUUGGGGAGUCCACCUCCUCAGUGCCGCAGCUAACGCAAUAAGCACUCCGCCUGGGGAGUACGGCCGCAAGGCUGAAACUCAAAGGAAUUGACGGGGACCCGCACAAGCAGUGGAGCAUGUGGUUUAAUUCGAAGCAACGCGAAGAACCUUACCAGGGCUUGACAUCCCGCUGACCCCUCCCGAGAUGGAGGCUUCCUUCGGGACAGCGUUGACAAGUGGUGCAUGGUUGUCGUCAGCUCGUGUCCUGACAUGUUGGGUUAAGUCCCGCAACGAGCGCAACCCUUGUCCUUUGUUGCCAGCAUUCAUUUGGGCACUCUAAGGAGACUGCCGUCGACAAACGGAAGAAGGU
rnacentral:rRNA from 1 species